AGAGGAGCCGGAGAGGAGGCGUGCGGGUGGGGACUGCGGCGCACUCGAGUCAGCGCACGCACCUUCUCCCCCCUUUGUUUCGGGGGUCGACCGGCCGCUCUCCUCCCCAAGUCUGAAUUCUUCAGAAGGGGCGGAGGGCCGCCGAGUCUCGGCUGGGAAGAUGCCCUUGGAACUGACUCAGAGCCGGGUGCAGAAGAUCUGGAUCCCGGUCGACCACCGCCCCUCGCUGCCUAGAUCCUGUGGGCCGAAGCUCGCCAACUCGCCCACGGUGAUCGUCAUGGUGGGCCUCCCUGCCCGCGGCAAGACCUACAUCUCCAAGAAGCUGACCCGCUACCUCAACUGGAUCGGCGUCCCCACGAAAGUGUUCAACGUCGGGGAAUACCGGCGGGAGGCCGUCAAGCAGUACAGCUCCUACAAUUUCUUCCGGCCAGACAACGAGGAGGCCAUGAGAGUCCGCAAGCAGUGUGCGCUGGCUGCCCUGAGAGACGUGAAAAGUUACCUCACGAAGGAAGGGGGCCAAAUUGCGGUUUUUGAUGCCACCAACACUACUAGAGAGAGGAGACACAUGAUCCUUCACUUUGCCAAAGAAAAUGAUUUCAAGGUGUUUUUCAUUGAGUCUGUGUGCGAUGACCCUACAGUCGUGGCCUCAAACAUCAUGGAAGUGAAGCUCUCCAGCCCGGAUUACAAAGACUGCAACUCAGCAGAAGCUAUGGACGAUUUCAUGAAGAGAAUUAAUUGCUACGAAGCCAGCUACCAGCCCCUCGACCCUGACAAAUGUGACAGGGACCUGUCCCUGAUCAAGGUGAUCGACGUGGGCCGGCGGUUCCUGGUGAACAGGGUGCAGGACCAUAUCCAGAGCCGCAUCGUGUACUACCUGAUGAACAUCCACGUGCAGCCGCGCACCAUCUACCUGUGCCGGCACGGCGAGAGCGAGCACAACCUCCAGGGCAAGAUCGGAGGGGACUCGGGCCUGUCCAGCAGGGGCAGGAAGUUUGCCAGCGCCCUGAGCAAGUUCGUGGAGGAGCAGAACCUGAAGGACCUCAAGGUGUGGACCAGCCAGCUGAAGAGCACCAUCCAGACGGCCGAGGCCCUGCAGCUGCCCUACGAGCAGUGGAAGGCGCUCAACGAGAUCGACGCGGGCGUCUGUGAGGAGAUGACCUACGAGGAGAUCAGAGACACGUACCCCGAGGAGUACGCGCUGCGGGAGCAGGACAAGUACUACUACCGCUAUCCCACCGGGGAGUCCUACCAGGACCUGGUCCAGCGCUUGGAGCCGGUGAUCAUGGAGCUGGAGCGGCAGGAGAACGUGCUGGUUAUCUGCCACCAGGCUGUGCUGCGCUGCCUCCUGGCCUACUUCCUGGACAAGAGCGCAGAAGAGAUGCCAUACCUGAAGUGCCCCCUUCACGCCGUCCUGAAGCUGACGCCCGUCGCAUAUGGUUGCCGCGUAGAAUCCAUCUACCUGAAUGUGGAGUCGGUGAGCACACACCGGGAGAGGUCAGAGGAUGCAAAGAAGGGACCUAACCCGCUCAUGCGACGCAAUAGUGUCACCCCACUAGCCAGCCCCGAGCCCACCAAAAAGCCUCGCAUCAACAGCUUUGAGGAGCAUGUGGCUUCUACCUCCGCUGCCCUGCCCAACUGCCUACCCCCGGAGGCGCCCACGCAGCUGCCCGGACAACCUUUGCUAGGGAAGGCCUGCUUAACGUGAAAGGCUCCCCCAGCAGCGCGGACGCCUCCAGGACGCACUGACGCAGCCCCGCCGCUGUGCCUUCCACUCCUGCAGCUUUGCUCGAGCCCUUGCGCCUGCCCGAGGCCAGCGAUCCCGAAGACUUCGAUCCCGAAGACUUCUCCCCGGGCAGCGCGGAGGAGGCGCUGCUGCGCCCGCACCCGCCAGGCAGCGUCGGGCACCGCCCGCCCCCGCUGUGCUCCCCGCGCUUCCGGCUGUGUCCCCGCCCCUCGGACGGACGAUGCGCGGCGGAGGCGGAUUGUGGGCGCUUCGGUGCUGGGUGCUGGCUUGUUCAUCUCGUUUCUGUUCGUUCCCCGCUGGGGAGGUGGAAGUGGCCCCCGAGUCCUAACCUUGCAGGGGGCCUAGAUCCCAGCUGCAGAAGGUUGAGGGACGAUGAAAGCUUUCAAGAGGCUUUUGGUGCAUCUCAGCCUGGAGGUUGCCCGGGUUCCGGAAGAAGCUGGUCCCCGAGUUGGAGAGAGGAGCUGGGAGCUGGACCUGCGGUCAGUCGAGCAGCCGGUGUCACCCACCUUUCCAGGUCCGUGUCCUGACGCGGAAGAUGUGGGACAUUCUGGCUGUGGAGGCGGGAGGAAAUGCUUUGCGGAAAUGGCACAGGCCCUCCCUCCCAGGGGAGGCCCCCGCCUGGAUCUCGGUCUCCUGGCACACGGCUCCGCCCCGCACUUUCUUAGGGCAGAGCCCGCCGCCGCCGCAGAGUCACACCUGCUUCCGGAACUUAGAUGAUUGGGUCUGUGCCCUUGGGGCUGGUGCCCUGGAAGGAUGUGGGAGUCGUUGGGGACCUCAGAGAGACCCCCUCCUACAACGCCCAGAGAGCACGUGUUAGAGUCAUUGCAAGGCUGACCCGGCCGGUGGCGUGGGGGCUCGAGGCUCUGGUCUCCUGCUUCAGGGCGUCCCUGCAUCACCUCCCAGUGACAGUGGCUGGAGCCAGGCCUUGCUGACGGCCACUUCCUCCAAGAGACUGUCCUCUGGUCUCUCCAUCUGCGACGGGCACCUGCUGUAUGUCCUGCGUGGGGCUGGGCUCCUUGGAGGACUCUAGAGAAGAGAAUGUGCUUGCUUGCCUUUGUGGCCCCUGUGGCGUUUGGGGAAGAGGGGUUCAAGCAGAGCUUGUGGACUUGUGGUUCUAAACACCUGUAGUUUCUUCCUGCUGGUUUUCCCCUGUUGGCCCAGGAGAAACGAUUUGGACUCAGCAGCAGACGUUGUCCAAGUGACCCUUUUUCAGGAUCUCUAAAAGCGGUGCCAAAGGUCACCUCUUCUUCCUGCCUUCUCCUUUGGGGCCCCACGUCCCUCCGCCUCUUAGCUUGUGAACAGUCCUUGGGGGUGGAGGGGGACGUUUAGACAGCUGGAGCUGGGGGCGGAGAGGAGCCGUUUUUGUUUUUGUUUUGUUUGAAAGGAGCUUUUAGGAAACGCACGUGUCUGUUUGGGAUUCAGGGGGAAACGCGGGUGCGAGGCAUACGUCCUGUAACCAGGCUUCUGGGUUUCCCACCAAACCGCUCAAAUCCCCGCUUCUCUUCAUCCCUUCAUUGGCCAUCUGCCCAGGUGACACCUGUCUGUCCAUCCCUGGGCAAGACUCGGGUCACUCUCCCCCUUUCCCGCUGUCUGGUUAGGCACUGCGUGUGUGUGUGUGUCUAUGUGUGUGUUGGAUGUAUUUUCAGACGGAGGGGCCCGCAGCUCUUGAGGAGAGCUCUUGUCAUAUUCUCGUCAUUUGUCCCACUUUCUGGCUCCUCCUCUGGCCAUUGGCACCGACUCUGAACUUUGGCUCUUGAGGCUGAUCCAAGUGGGGGCCGAAUGAAGGUGGGUUCGCCCUCGCCUCUGAUGGCCCGCAUCCGUGCCCACACGGAGGAGGCCUGGUCUGACCCUGGUUUGGUUGGCAGGGACCUCGAUGGGGAGGGGAGACGCGGAGAGAGCAGAAGGCUGCAGACUGGAGCCAGGACGGGGCUUGGGAGGAGGGCGGUGUAGACCGGCGGGGGGUGUCUGAGCCGCGGUCGGUCGUGGGGCCUCUGCUGUGCUGGCCAUUGACUCUCACUCCCCUGACCCUCGUCAAAUGCUGGGACCGAUGUUACCUUUGCCUGUUUGUUUUGGGCGGGCUCACCGCCUUCCUUCCUCUGUCCUGAGACUGCGCGCCAAGACCUUCCUUUCGGGGGAAAAGAAAGACUGAACCACGCCAAGGACGUUUUCAUUUCUAAUACUUGAAGUUUAUUUUUUUAUUAUUUUGAUAGCAGAUAUGCUAUUUAUUUAUUUAAUAUGUAUAAGGGAUCCUGAAAACGGAAAGCUGUAUAGAUGGGGUUUCGUUGUGGGUUGGCUUGGGGGCCUUUUACAUGUGACUUCCGACUCUGUGUGUUCUGUAUAAAUUUGUCUGAAUUAAUUACCUGGGAUGAAGCUGUGCCAGCUUUCAAACAGGGGAUGCCUAUUGGAAAUUUGUAUAUUUUGCAGUUGCCAGAACAAUAAAAUUCCUGGUUGAAAUAC
ensembl:lncRNA